GAUGAACGCUGGCGGCGUGCCUAAUACAUGCAAGUCGAGCGAACGGACGAGAAGCUGGCUUCUCUGAUGUUAGCGGCGGACGGGUGUGUAACACGUGGGUAACCUACCGAUAAUACUGGGAUAACUUCGGGAAACCGGAGCUAAUACCGUAUAAUAUUUUGAACCGCAUGGUUCAAAAGUGAAAGUCGGUCUUGCUGUCACUUAUAGAUGGAUCCGCGCGUCAUUAGCUAGUUGGUAGGGUAACGGCUUACCAAGGCAACGAUGCAUAACCGACCUGAGAGGGUGAUCGGCCACACUGGGACUGAAAGACGGUCCAGACUCCUACGGGAGGCAGAAGUAGGGAAUCGUGCGAAAUGGGCGAAAGCCUGCCGGAGCAACGCCGGCUGGGUGCUGCGGGUCUUCGGAUCGUAAAACUCUGUUAGUAUGGAAGACCAUAUGUGUAAGUAACUGUGCACAUCUUGACGGUACCUAGUCAGAAAGCCACGGCUAACUACGUG
rnacentral:rRNA from 1 species